CAGUGGGCUUCAGAAGGAGGCUCUGUGUGGCUGAGAGAGUCUGAGAGAGUGUAGGAAUGUAUGUAUUUGUGAGGGACAGUGGUUUGUCAAAGAUCUUCAGUAUGCUCACUCCAUUGCCGCUUGCCUCCCUGAACAUGGGCUUUGAUUUAAUUGCACACAUUUACACACACAAUCCCAGCUUCACAUGCACACACCGACAGAGUCGUUGCCAUUAUUCUCACACCACUGCUCUUGUGUUGUGUUGAAGCAGUAGCAGUAGUUCUGGUUUCAGUUGUGGGGGAGUAUUUGCAGCUGCCACCUUAGUCGGCAGCAUAGCCUUAGGGCCAUGGAAGUGCGAAUUGGGAUUGCGUUGCGUGAGCACACACUGUUUCUUGGUAGCCUCUUUUCUGGUAUGAGAUCGUCCCUGAAGUUGGUUGAUGGCGUCGUGACGAACAAGCCCAGUGCGCACUACACCAGCAUUUGUGUCACCUCUCUGCAGUAAGCUCUCAAGCUUUGACCCCAAAGCGGGAAGCAUCUCAGCCAAUACUUCAUCGAUUUUAUUCAACUUUUUUAUUUCUUUUUUGUAAUCAACUUGAUCGGAAGGAGUACUGUGAGAAACAUUCUAUCCUCGACGAGGUCCGAUACUUUCCACUCCCCUAAAUGUUUACAUACUAGCGGCAGUCACUGUUACAAUAUUCCGAACCUACGAAACAGGAUACUAGAUCCACAAUAACGAAUUUCAAUCUAAAGAAAAGGGAGAUUCUUACCUUUUGGUUUCUGGAGUCAGUCUUGACACACACAGAAGUGUAAUUACCACCACAAAGAAGACUCAGUAAGUUUGAGCAAGAAAUGAGGACCCAACUCUAAUAGCACUCUUUUGUACCUGUAAACCAGGUUAGAUUUAGUGCAGGGUACAAAUUUUUCUCUUACGGUGCACACAUGUCGGCAAUCAAAUGCUGUGGUUUUUAUAUAUUAUAUUUUAUUUUCUUCCUAAGUAUCUUGGUUGAAAUGCUGUGUUGAAGUUCAUUGUUGGUGGUAAUCAAUAGUUUGAAAAGUCAGUGGACAACGCGGUCUGUUUCGUGCCUUCGAAGCUAAAUUCUAUCCCACGUCUUAUGUCAUUUAAGUUUUUAUCUUCGUGGACAUGGAUUUCCUAACACCGCAAUGGGAUAUUAAGGUUUUGCAAUAUUGUUACGACUGGACUUUGCAGGCCCUCGAAGUAGUUGGACGUCUCAGAUGGUUAAUCCUCUCCAUCGUGUUAAUCCUCCACAACGUAGUAAAAAGUUUAGAUAAUUUUUUCAGAUGACCUGUGUCACUGACAUGAUGGGAUUGUAAUUCAAAAGUGCUGAAGUGAGCUGUGAACUUUGCGAACCCCGUAAACUGCCUGCAAGUUAUAAAUUUGCAUAUAUUCUGGUGUAGGGUUGAUGGAGGAGUAGGAGACAGACGUCGAACCACUGGGGCGGUUCCUCAACAGAGCCUAUGCGUCGUCCUCGAGGCAGUAUGGCCACAUAUCCAUCAGUGGGUCGCUUUGAAAACGAACAACGACCCACUUUCUAUGUUAAAUGCUGGUCGCCCAAGCUCCAUGAUCUUGUCGUGAGGAAGAGUAUGGCUCCUCGCAGCAAUCAUGGUCAGCUUACUGAACAGCCCACAGGUAUUGUGGAUCUAAGAACAGUUUCAUCGACAACAACUGAGGGCAAGGUAUGAAAUAUUUUAUGCCUGUUUGCCUUGUCCUCACAUUCUUGCCACUCGACCCACCUAGUUACCGUACCGUUUGCUAAGAGACAAGUGCGAUGCCAAAUGGUGAAAUAAAAACAAUUCAAGAUGUUCGUUACGUACCAGGCCUCGGUAGAAACCUUCUUUGUAUAGGUGAGAUUACAAACUCUGAAAAUCUUGUGUUAUUUAUCUAAUCUAUGUGCUUAGUAUUGACUUCACAAAGACCAUGCAAAACAAUUACCAUAGGUAGCAGAGAUUCUAAAAUCGGUCUCUAUAAGCUAUUUUCACUCAUUAGAAGUAUUGAAGCGUUCUAAGAAAGACCUCACAGUUUGAAACUCACUCCGUAAUUUCUAGCCCACUUGUAGUUUCAGUCUGUGGAAUAGAAAUAUAAACCAAAGAGCAAGAUCUUGCCAAAUUAUAGCAUGCAUAUUCGGGCCAUUUGAAUUACAACAAUCUAUUACAAAUGAGUAAACAAUCUUGUAGUA